CGACGAGUUUGAUCCUGGCUCAGAUUGAACGCUGGCGGCAUGCCUUACACAUGCAAGUCGAACGGCAGCACGGGUGCUUGCACCUGGUGGCGAGUGGCGAACGGGUGAGUAAUACAUCGGAACGUACCUUAUCGUGGGGGAUAACGCAGCGAAAGCUGUGCUAAUACCGCAUACGCCCUGAGGGGGAAAGCGGGGGAUCGAAAGACCUCGCGCGAUUAGAGCGGCCGAUGCCUGAUUAGCUUGUUGGUGGGGUAAAAGCCCACCAAGGCGACGAUCAGUAGCU
rnacentral:rRNA from 1 species